rnacentral:rRNA from 1 species
UACGUAGGGCGCAAGCGUUGUCCGGAAUUAUUGGGCGUAAAGAGCUCGUAGGCGGCCUGUUGCGUCCGCUGUGAAAUCCCGGGGCUCAACCCCGGGCCUGCAGUGGAUACGGGCUGGCUAGAGGCAGGCAGGGGAGAACGGAAUUCCUGGUGUAGCGGUGAAAUGCGCAGAUAUCAGGAGGAACACCGGUGGCGAAGGCGGGACUCUGGGCCGAUACUGACGCUGAGGAGCGAAAGCGUGGGGAGCAAACAGG